rnacentral:rRNA from 1 species
AUUGAACGCUGGCGGCAGGCCUAACACAUGCAAGUCGAACGAGUGGCGGACGGGUGAGUAAUGUCUGGGAAACUGCCCGCUGGAGGGGGAUAACUACUGGAAACGGUAGCUAAUACCGCAUACCAUCGGAUGUGCCCCGAUGGGAUUAGCUAGUAGGUGGGGUAACGGCUCACCUAGGCGACGAUCCCUGGCUGGUCUGAGAGGAUGACCAGCCACACGGGAACUAGGAAAGGGUCCAGACUCCUACGGGGGGCAGAAGUGGGGAAUAUUGGAAAAGGAGGAAAAGCCGAAGGAGGCCAUGCGGCGGGGAUGAAGAGGGCCUUGGGGUUGUAAGGUACUUUCAGCGAGGAGGCGUUACUGGCAGAAGAAGCACCGGCUAACUCCGUGCCAGCCGCCGCGGUAAUAC